rnacentral:lncRNA from 1 species
AAAAAGAUAUUCACAAUCGUGUGCAUAUCAUUUGUAAAUAUUUUCUUGUUUCCUGAUGAUCCCACGUUGAAUUUACUACUAAACAAACAUAUCUGGGAAACUUUUUGGAGGUUUUGAUAACAAAAUUGUGCAGUGUGUCACCUUGUGUGUAAAUUUUUUCUAUUCUUAGUCCCGCUUCAAGCUUGCUUACUAUAACUUUCAGCCUAGUCUGAUAAAUUGAAAACUACAACUGAUAUGUCCUAUCCAAGGAAAAAAUUUAGAUAAACUUGACAGCUUUUGUACUCUAUUCUCUUGCAAUAA